ACAAAUUGUAGAGGUGCAAAUCCGAUAAGUAUUCUUUUCGAGUGGAAAACGGUGAAGAAAGAAGAAAGGCGGAUUUGCCGAAAUCAAUUAAGCGUCAUCUUAAUUGGUUGGGGUCGUUACCGAAAGGGACGACACUGUCAUAGUGAAAACUAUGGAGUGCUACUGUUAGG
rnacentral:ncRNA from 2 species